AAUGCUUAGGAAUCUGCCUAUUAGUGGGGGACAACAUUCCGAAAGGAAUGCUAAUACCGCAUACGCCCUACGGGGGAAAGCAGGGGAUCUUCGGACCUUGCGCUAAUAGAUGAGCCUAAGUCAGAUUAGCUAGUUGGUGGGGUAAAGGCCUACCAAGGCGACGAUCUGUAGCGGGCCUGAGAGGAUGAUCCGCCACACUGGGACUGAGACACGGCCCAGACUCCUACGGGAGGCAGCAGUGGGGAAUAUUGGACAAUGGGCGCAAGCCUGAUCCAGCCAUGCUGCGUGUGUGAAGAAGGCCUUUUGGUUGUAAAGCACUUUAAGCGAGGAGGAGGCUACUUGGAUUAAUACUCUAGGAUAGUGGACGUUACUCGCAGAAUAAGCACCGGCUAACUCUGUGCCAGCAGCCGCGGUAAUACAGAGGGUGCGAGCGUUAAUCGGAUUUACUGGGCGUAAAGCGUGCGUAGGCGGCUUCUUAAGUCGGAUGUGAAAUCCCUGAGCUUAACUUAGGAAUUGCAUUCGAUACUGGGAAGCUAGAGUAUGGGAGAGGAUGGUAGAAUUCCAGGUGUAGCGGUGAAAUGCGUAGAGAUCUGGAGG
rnacentral:rRNA from 1 species